rnacentral:rRNA from 1 species
GAUGAACGCUGGCGGCGUGCCUAAUACAUGCAAGUCGAGCGAACAGACGAGGAGCUUGCUCCUCUGACGUUAGCGGCGGACGGGUGAGUAACACGUGGAUAACCUACCUAUAAGACUGGGAUAACUUCGGGAAACCGGAGCUAAUACCGGAUAAUAUAUUGAACCGCAUGGUUCAAUAGUGAAAGACGGUUUUGCUGUCACUUAUAGAUGGAUCCGCGCCGCAUUAGCUAGUUGGUAAGGUAACGGCUUACCAAGGCAACGAUGCGUAGCCGACCUGAGAGGGUGAUCGGACACACUGGAACUGAGACACGGUCCAGACUCCUACGGGAGGCAGCAGUAGGGAAUCUUCCGCAAUGGGCGAAAGCCUGACGGAGCAACGCCGCGUGAGUGAUGAAGGUCUUCGGAUCGUAGAACUCUGUUAUUAGGGAAGAACAAAUGUGUAAGUAACUAUGCACGUCUUGACGGUACCUAAUCAGAAAGCCACGGCUAACUACGUG